CUACGGGCGGCUCCAGUGAGGAAUAUUGCACAAUGGGGGGAACCCUGAUGCAGCAACGCCGCGUGGAGGAUGACGCAUUUCGGUGUGUAAACUCCUUUUAUAUGUCAAGAAAAUGACGGUAGCAUAUGAAUAAGCACCGGCUAACUCCGUGCCAGCAGCCGCGGUAAUACGGAGGGUGCAAGCGUUACUCGGAAUCACUGGGCGUAAAGGACGCGUAGGCGGGUUGGAAAGUCAGGUGUGAAAUCCUACAGCUUAACUGUAGAACUGCACUUGAAACUUCUAAUCUAGAGUAUGGGAGGGGGAGAUGGAAUUAGUGGUGUAGGGGUAAAAUCCGUAGAUAUCACUAGGAAUACCUAAAGCGAAGGCGAUCUCCUGGAACAUUACUGACGCUAAGGCGUGAAAGCGUGGGGAGCAAACAGGAUUAGAUACCCGCGUAGUC
rnacentral:rRNA from 1 species